UUUCCGUAGGUGAACCUGCGGAAGGAUCAUUACAGUAGUCACCCAGGUUGCCGCAAGGCCUCCUGGGUAACCUACCACCCUUUGUUUAUUGCACUUUGUUGCUUUGGCAAGCCUGCCCUCGGGCUGCCGGCUCCGGCCGGCGAGCGCUUGCCAGAGGACCAAAACUCUGUUUGUCUAUACUGUCUGAGUACUAUAUAAUAGUUAAAACUUUCAACAACGGAUCUCUUGGUUCUG
rnacentral:misc_RNA from 1 species